ACAUGCAAGUCGAGGGGAACGACAUCGAAAGCUUGCUUUUGAUGGGCGUCGACCGGCGCACGGGUGAGUAACGCGUAUCCAACCUGCCCACCACUUGGGGAUAACCUUGCGAAAGUAAGACUAAUACCCAAUGACGUCUCUAGAAGACAUCUGAAGGAGAUUAAAGAUUUAUCGGUGAUGGAUGGGGAUGCGUCUGAUUAGCUUGUUGGCGGGGUAACGGCCCACCAAGGCGACGAUCAGUAGGGGUUCUGAGAGGAAGGUCCCCCACAUUGGAACUGAGACACGGUCCAAACUCCUACGGGAGGCAGCAGUGAGGAAUAUUGGUCAAUGGACGAGAGUCUGAACCAGCCAAGUAGCGUGCAGGAUGACGGCCCUAUGGGUUGUAAACUGCUUUUAUAAGGGAAUAAAGUGAGUCUCGUGAGACUUUUUGCAUGUACCUUAUGAAUAAGGACCGGCUAAUUCCGUGCCAGCAGCCGCGGUAAUACGGAAGGUCCGGGCGUUAUCCGGAUUUAUUGGGUUUAAAGGGAGCGUAGGCCGGAGAUUAAGCGUGUUGUGAAAUGUAGAUGCUCAACAUCUGCACUGCAGCGCGAACUGGUUUCCUUGAGUACGCACAAAGUGGGCGGAAUUCGUGGUGUAGCGGUGAAAUGCUUAGAUAUCACGAAGAACUCCGAUUGCGAAGGCAGCUCACUGGAGCGCAACUGACGCUGAAGCUCGAAAGUGCGGGUAUCGAACAGGAUUAGAUACCCUGGUAGUCCGCACGGUAAACGAUGGAUGCCCGCUGUUGGUCUGAAUAGGUCAGCGGCCAAGCGAAAGCAUUAAGCAUCCCACCUGGGGAGUACGCCGGCAACGGUGAAACUCAAAGGAAUUGACGGGGGCCCG
rnacentral:rRNA from 1 species